CCUACACUGGGUAUAGGUGGGGCCACAUCCACCUCACUCCAGUGAGGGGAUGCUACAGGCUGGUGCAUGUAAUAAUUGGUUGAUAAAGUAGCCUUUGUCAUGCAAAGUUCUAAACCAGGUAGCACUGCAGGAGACAGGGUGAGAAGGGCAGGUCUCACUACCCUCCUUAGAACGCUGGGGAUCGUUCAGGUUCGGGCACUGAUGUUUCAUACUCGGGCCCUCAGUGUGUCCCUACAUGGGUAGUUAAACUGGCACACUGGUCGGCUCCCCAGUUACCCCACAAAAAAUCAUUAUGCGGCCAACAUCCACCAAUUGUUUGUUAUAGCGGAGUAAUAAAUAUUUCUCAUACUAUUUAUUGUUAAGUUCUAUUUCAUAAUUGCUGAAUGUUGCCAGGCUCUGUGUCUUUCAAGCAAUAUAAUGUAUAGUGCUGGGUUAGCUUGGUGAAUUCAAUAAUUAAUCAGGAUUAUUUGUUUUUAUAUCAAAUAGUCUGUAUUAAUUUUGAGACACUCUGUAUAUUCCGAAAAAACUCUGUACGAGCUAACCAUUGGCUUAUCCGGAAGCCCCUGCAAAAACCCCACAGUUUUCAUCGAAUUUUAGCACCCACCCACCCAGCCCCCAUUUUUAUUAAUUACUUUAUACUUAGAUAUUUAUUAACAUAUAUUUGUGCUUUUGGUUUCUUUCUCGUUUUUCUUUUCUUUAUUUUGACAGGUCAUUGAAUAACAAAGUCGGAUGCAGACUGAAAAUCUGCUAGAAAACCAGAAAAAACAGCCAGACAGGAUGACAAGCAGCUCGGUGUCAUCUGGACUUGUGUUCAACAGUUUAUCUUUUUUCAAUAGACUUUCAUAUUUUGGACUUGUACAUGUAACUUUUUCUUGUCGCAUCACAUUUUUAGGGGGGAUGGGGACUGGGGAGUCCGCAGUGGUAUGUGUUGACACUUUCUGCUCCAAAACCUGGGUGUCUCCCCCCACUUGCUUUCAAAGCUAGGGGAUAGUAUAUAAAUUAAAUCAUUCAAUAUGGUUUAUAAAAGGCAAAGUUAUUACAGUUAACUGUGCCAUGUGGUUACAAUGUAAAAUUGGGAUUUGUUUGUAUAGUGGGGCCUACACUGGGUAUAGGUGGGGCCACAUCCACCUCACUCCAGUGAGGGGAUGCUACAGGCUGGUGCAUGUAAUAAUUGGUUGAUAAAGUAGCCUUUGUCAUGCAAAGUUCUAAACCAGGUAGCACUGCAGGAGACAGGGUGAGAAGGGCAGGUCUCACUACCCUCCUUAGAACGCUGGGGAUCGUUCAGGUUCGGGCACUGAUGUUUCAUACUCGGGCCCUCAGUGUGUCCCUACAUGGGUAGUUAAACUGGCACACUGGUCGGCUCCCCAGUUACCCCACAAAAAAUCAUUAUGCGGCCAACAUCCACCAAUUGUUUGUUAUAGCGGAGUAAUAAAUAUUUCUCAUAC
rnacentral:sRNA from 1 species